ACAUCUUGUGAAAAGUACUGUCUCUGGCGGAAGGAUGACGACUGGUUUAAACCAUCGGCAUCUGUCAGCUUGCGUUGUUCGCAAUGCAGGCCGUGGACAAGCCGCCAAACAUGUAAACAAACCCUUUUUAAUUUUUUUAAAACUAACAUUUUUUGUAUGAAUGUACAAAACAACUUUUGGCAACGGAUCUCUUGGCUCUCGCAACGAUGAAGAACGCAGCGAAAUGCGAUAAGUAGUGUGAAUUGCAGAAUUCAGUGAAUCAUCGAAUCUUUGAACGCACAUUGCGCUUCCUGGUAUUCCGGGGAGCAUGCCCGUUUCAGAAUCAUUAAAAUCUCACCAGGGUUGAGCUUUUCGGAGCGCAGCUUUUUGAGUGGAUUUGGAUGUUUUGUUUCGACAAUCAUCUUAAAAUGAUAGUGUGUGCAUCCAUCGAACGUUCGAUGGGUUACCAAAGUGCAACAGAUUUUUCUAUUUCGCUUUGGGAGCUUAUUGAAUUGGAUGGGAGCGUAUACCCAACCUCUUAACAAACGUCUUGCCCUUGGGUAAAACAUUUGAUAACUUGGUCUGAAAUCGGGCAAGAAAACCCGCUGAACUUAAGCAUAUC
rnacentral:rRNA from 1 species